rnacentral:rRNA from 1 species
UGAGUAACGCGUGGGUAAUCUGCCCCUAAGUCCGGGAUAACAGCGCGAAAGCGCUGCUAAUACCGGAUAUACUUCCGAGGUCGCAUGAACUGGGAAGGAAAGGGAUACCGCUUAGGGAUGAGCCCGCGUCCCAUUAGCUAGUUGGUGAGGUAAAGGCUCACCAAGGCGACGAUGGGUAGCCGGCCUGAGAGGGUGGACGGCCACACUGGGACUGAGACACGGCCCAGACUCCUACGGGAGGCAGCAGUAGGGAAUUUUCCGCAAUGGGCGAAAGCCUGACGGAGCAACGCCGCGUGAGGGAGGAAGGCCUUCGGGUCGUAAACCUUUGUCAUCGAGGACGAUAAUGACGGUACUCGAGGAGGAAGCCCCGGCUAACUACGUGCCAGCAGCCGCGGUAACACGUAGGGGGCGAGCGUUGUCCGGAAUUACUGGGCGUAAAGGGCGCGUAGGCGGCCCAAUAAGUCAGAUGUGAA